rnacentral:rRNA from 1 species
GACGAACGCUGGCGGCGUGCUUAACACAUGCAAGUCGAACGGAAAGGCCCUGCUUUUGGGGGGUGCUCGGGGGGCGAACGGGUGAGUCACACGUGAGUAACCUGCCCCUGACUUUGGGAUAACUUCAGGAAACUGGGGCUAAUACUGGAUAGGCGCUCCUGCUGCAUGGUGGGGGUUGGAAAGUUUCGGCGGUUGGGGAUGGACUCGCGGCUUAUCUGUUUGUUGGUGGGGUGGGGGCUUACAAAGGCUUUGACGGGUGGCCGGCCGGGGGGGUGGACCGGCAAAUUUGGGACGAGGAUACGGCCCGGACCCCAAGGGGGGGAAGCAGUGGGGAAUUUGGACAAUGGGGCGAAAGCUGAAGGAGGCACGGCGGGGUGCGGGAUGACGGCCUUGGGUUGUAAACCCGCUUUCGCAUGGGAGGAAGCGUGAGUGACGGUAAUGGGUGAAGAAGCACCGGCUAACUACGUG